GGGAUCCUGCGACUGGAUUUUGGAGUAAUUUUGUGGAAUUUAAGGGAUUUGGGGGCAAUUUCGGGGUCCCUGACGGGACUUUGGGAUAUUUUGGUGCAAUUUUUGGGGUGAUUUGGGGUAAUUUUGGGGUCCCUGACAGGACUUUGGGAUUGAUUUGGGGUAAUUUCGGGGUCCCUGAUGGAAUUUUGGGGUAUUUUGAGGUAAUUUUGGGGUCCCUGAUGGGAUUUCAGGGUAUUUUGGUGCAACUUUUGGGGUGAUUUGGGGUAAUUUCAGGGUCUGUUAUGGUAUUUGGAUGGAAUUUUGGGGUAUUUUGGAUUGUUUUGGUUUGAACAGACAGGUGUGUGCUGAGGAAGGCAGGAGACCCCUGAAAUGGAAAAUGUGAACUGUCUCCCUCUGCAUUGUUGUAAAUUUGAAAUGAAAAGGCUCUCAGGCAAAGAUAUGGGAACAGGACUAACAGUUCUUUGCUGGGGACUGGUUCCAUGACAAAGGUCACGUCGGCGUGCUCUGGAUCGCUGAGAACUGGAAAAGGACCAGACCCAGCUAAUCUGAGGCCCCGCACUGUGAAGACGCCGUGGCCUUGAGCACGGCUGUGUUAUGAUACCAAGGUGCUGUAGCCGAGAGCAGAGCCUGAGAAAAGAGAGAUAAGAUGUGUCCUGGAGGGAGGAUUGGCUGUGGAAGAGAGAAAGAAAACUGCCCCAUGAACAGCAGAUAACUGCCCCGUCAGGACACCUGGAUCCCCCAAAGACACCUGGACCCACAGAGGAACACCUGGAACUGCCCCCAGGACACCUGAAACCGUCCCAGGAACACCUGGAGGCCUCCUGAGCACACCAGGAUCCCCCUAAAGAGUACCUGGGGCACCCCAAAAACACCUGGAAAUGCUUCUGGGACACCUGAAUCUCCCUCAAGGACACCUGGACCCACCCAAACUCACCUGGACCCACUCAGGAACACCUCGAUGCCCCCAAAAAACCACCUGGGACCCCCCAAAUCCACCUGAGACCCCCAAAAUCCCACCUGGACCCUCCCCAUGAUGUCACAGGUGUGGCCAUGCCCCCCAUCUCCCCCGGGUUUCUAUUUUUGGGUCGAUUUGUGGUGAUUUUUGGUUUCCAUCGAUAAAAAUCCAACCGGG